rnacentral:rRNA from 1 species
AACGUAGGGGGCGAGCGUUGUCCGGAAUUACUGGGCGUAAAGCGCGUGUAGGCGGGUUUAUAAGUCGGGUGUGAAAACCCUGGGCUCAACCCAGGGACUGCAUCCGAAACUGUAGAUCUUGAGGGCGGGAGAGGAAAGUGGAAUUCCUAGUGUAGCGGUGAAAUGCGUAGAUAUUAGGAGGAACACCAGUGGCGAAGGCGGCUUUCUGGCCCGAACCUGACGCUGAGACGCGAAAGCGUGGGGAGCAAACAGGAUUAGAUACC